rnacentral:rRNA from 1 species
CAGUAGCCACGGUAAUACGUAGGUGGCAAGCGUUGUCCGGAAUUAUUGGGCGUAAAGGGCUCGCAGGCGGUUUCUUAAGUCUGAUGCGAAAGCCCCCGGCUCAACCGGGGAGGGUCAUUGGAAACUGGGAAACUUGAGUGCAGAAGAGGAGAGUGGAAUUCCACGUGUAGCGGUGAAAUGCGUAGAGAUGUGGAGGAUCACCAGUGGCGAAGGCGACUCUCUGGUCUGUAACUGACGCUGAGGAGCGAAAGCGUGGGGAGCGAACAGGAUUAGAUACCCCCGUAGUCCCUGUCUCUUAUAC